GCAUGCCUACAACAUAACGUUAAUUCAUAAUAUCUCAUUAGAACUCCACAGUUAAGCAUGCUCAGGCUAGAGUAGUACUAGGAUGGGUGAUAUCCUAGGAAGUCAUAGUAUUUUACAUGCC
rnacentral:rRNA from 1 species